rfam:Microcoleus chthonoplastes PCC 7420 scf_1103659003793 genomic scaffold, whole genome shotgun sequence.
GUCGAAAUCCUCUAUAAUCCCUAUCAGGGAUUGAAAC